rnacentral:rRNA from 1 species
UACGGAGGGGGCUAGCGUUGUUCGGAAUUACUGGGCGUAAAGCGCACGUAGGCGGACUGUUAAGUCGGGGGUGAAAUCCUGGGGCUCAACCCCAGAACUGCCUCCGAUACUGGCAGUCUCGAGUGCGGGAGAGGUGAGUGGAAUUCCCAGUGUAGAGGUGAAAUGCGUAGAUAUCGGAAGGAACAUCAGUGGCGAAGGCGACCUCCUGGACCAAUACUGACACUCAAGUGCGAAAGCGUGGGGAGCAAACAGG